rnacentral:siRNA from 1 species
UCUGUAGCCUUAUCUAUAUUCACC